GUGUUAAUGGUUCCGACCCGGUGGACGACAGGCCGGUUCCGGACGCUGCGGUGCCCGCUGUGUGCGCCUGAUUGCGGACUUUAAUUCCUCGUGGUGGGUUUGGUGCUGACAGCGGCGGCGGGCGGUGCUCUUUAAUAAUACUGGGUCAACACACCGAGGACCGUCUGCCAGCCACCGGAGCUUCGCCCCGACUCCUCCGGAGGUGCUGCCCGAGAAGAAGGGGAAGGAACCCGCCGUGACAUUCCCACAUUGUAUUGUGCACUCGGACGGUGGGGAAAGAAAUCGUGCUAGCAUGCCUCGAUGAAAACAAUGGGAUGUGUUAGCCACGAGCUAGCAGCAGGCGGAGAUGCCCAGCGGCCGGUCCGGCAUCGGACGGGUGGCUCCUUCUCAGGCCGCUCGAAGGCCUCCUCUGCCAGGGACACCCCCAGUAGCCCCCCGCAACAACAGCAGGGUUUGAGGCCCUCAAAGUGUGACCCCUGACCUCAUUUACACCUGAUACAUCAAGGGCUUCACGUGAUUUAUAUGAGAAAAGAUGGCGGUUUAUCAGAGCAAACCUCUUAAUCCACCAAUUGACCAAAUAAAGGCAUCAGUUGGCGUUAAACGUGUGAUACCUGUGAGCUCCUGAGGGAAAUGCUUCCUAUAAACAUUGAUUAUUGAGCACGAUUCAUCUCCUCAUGACAUCACACAACGGAAUGUCUUAAAGAAAUAAAACACCAAUUCACACUAUCGGCAUUGUCGUUAUUUUGGGUUUCAGAUUUAGUCUUUAUUAAUCUUUGUUUUUGUUACAUUCUCAUGUAAUAAACGUGUGUCCCGAGAGAGACCGUGAACACGCCUCAUGAUGAUGUCAUACGCUCAUGUAGUUCCUCCGGAUAUCAGAAAUGGUUUGUCCACAAACAAUUUCUGAGCAGAAACAGAUUAUUUGUUUUAAUGGUAGAUAGAGAUUUAAAUGGCAGUUAAUGGUUUCCAUGGAGAUAAGCCCCUCCCACUCUCCGGCUCAUCUAGCGUGAAUGAGUACAAAUGGUUACGCAAGUUACUCACAAUUAGGGAGUUACAGUAAUCUCUACUUUUUAUUCCCAUGUGAAAACAUCUAAAUUUAUUCUAGUUAAUCACCAACACUAGAUUUUACAGAUGACAUGUAAACGCAUCACAGUGACCUCAUAGUUUUCUCAUGUUCACUGAGCAGAGCCUGAAGAUUAGCCGUUAGAAAUGAACUUGAUCUUAUUGGAUAAGAGAUAUUUUUCAAAUAAAAAUGGGUAUCAAAUUGGGAUGAAUCUAAAUGUUCCAUAUUGGGUUAGCAUAUUGCAAAUGUUUUGAUAUGUCAUCAGGAUUUAAGAUUCCAGUGAUAUAUUUAUCAUGACUGAAGUAUAGUAACAUAUUAUCGUGUUCAAUGCUGCGAUCACACCAAACUUAAGAUUUCAUACAAAUGCACAGACGUGAUGAGACGAGCUGCUAAUUGUUAGCGCCAAAGUCGACCUGACAAACAUCAAACGGGCUAACGGGUUAGCGCUGGAAGCGGCAGGCAGGCGUUUGGUGGUCCGACAUGAGUAGAACUUCACAACAGCUACAGAGUCGUGGUGUCCUCCAUGGUCGCAGGUUGAACUGUUUUCUGGUGAAAAGCCACGGCCCCUCCGUCGCGUCUAGUGCGGAUGACGCGAUAUAUGUCAAUUGACCAGAAACAAUCCCCCGCGUUCGGUGUGAACGCAGCUUUGUGACAUCUACUGAGGAACGUUCAUGACUAGGG
ensembl:lncRNA